CUCCAGGAUACGUGCAAGCUGCUCACCCUGUGUCAGGGGUAGAGAUAGUGUGAUGCCCCCAGAGCAGGGCUGAGAGUCCAGUCCAUGUGUCCGUGUGCUCAGUGUCCUGGGACGUGCCUGCACAUCCUCUCUACACACCGCUUUGUCCUCUGCAGACAAAAUAUUCAUGACACACCUCUUCCUUUCCCAAGCGCUGUUUCACACACCCACAUUCAAGGGAGCAAGACUUCCUGUUUGAAGGCGAUGCAGAGACUAAAAAUGAAGAGCACAAUAAAUGCUUAUCAGAUACCUUGGAUAAGCUUCUAUGCGAAUCAGAUGAGAAACUUCAGCUUCAUCUGAAGGAGAGAAUGGCAGCUUUGGAGGGCCCAGCUGAUUCUAAACCUGGAGACCCUGAGAGCCGAACUGGACCAGACGAGGCUACGAGGGGCUCCCUUCCACCAUGGGUAGGCCGCUCCCCCAAGCAGCUCCCCUCAGCGCUGUCGAGUGUGACAAGGGCCUCUCUGGUGUGUGGACAGUAUGACUGGGUGUUGCUCAUGGUCGCACCUCAAGGAGCCUGUAGCUUCGUGGCCAGCGAGAGAGAAGAGACAAACAUUGUUCCUUAGGGUCAAACUUGGUACCACGGAGUGGUAGUCACAGGAUUGACAACACUCAAAAACACAGGCAGAGGUUUGGAACUGGGUGAGGGGGGGCGACCAGUUGAUAUUUGGGUGUAUUCAUUUGAGGGGCCUGACAGACUGUGACACUGCCAUUUCUUAAGAGUUGCAGAAGGUUAAUAACCUGUAGUCUUUUUUACAUGAAUGGAGACUGAGACAUGACUUGUCAUUGACUAUGGUGGGAGGAAUCACCUGGCUUGUGAAUGAGGCAAGCAGAUCAAAGUGUAACACAACUGGGCACAGAUUUCUCAAGCCUAGUUCUUCUAAAGCAGAGUUACACCACAUGUAUGAAACGCUCAAACCAGGACCAGAACUUGCUGCUGGUACAACUCCUGUGUGCCAGUUCAAAAUCCAUUUCAGGUCCCUCCCUGGUCAUUAAGUAACCAAUGUGGGCAAAGUCCUAACAUUAAAAGUGAAAGGUCUUAAAAACGCUUUUUCCAGAAUUCUGUAUGUAUUAAACUCUGCCACCUAAUCUCCUGUUGCCAAAGAGUAGUGUGAAUAGCUUAUACAAACCUGUGCAAAUAUUUCUUUUUUGAGUUCUCACGCAGAAUUACUCACACCAAGCUACUAAACAAGGACACUUGCUGUACCACAUGUUGGAGGGGUUCUCUCUGAGAUGGUCUCAAGGGGGAGGGGUGGGCAGGGUGGGCGCUGUCUGUCUGUGCACAGAGGAGAGGUGAGGCUCACAGGAGGAGGCCUGAACCCCCAGCACUCUUCUGUUUUCACGGUGACCGUUAGGUAGUUUCUUAUAAAUCAUGACACCCGCAGACACGACCGCCAGAAACAUCAUGAUUCCACAUGGUUACACAACUCGGGCCUGAGGAUCUGAGGGUGAGCAAAUGCCACUUGACUUGUCUGACCGCCGGUAUCACUGUCACACAUCCCUUCAAGGAGCGGAACCUCAGAAAACCAGAGAAGAUGGCCAGGCAAGCUGCCUCAGCAGAGUCCA
ensembl:lncRNA